rnacentral:snRNA from 1 species
GGUUUGAGAGUGGUCUGGCUGUGAUAUCUGUCAACCCACUGAAGGCCAGGCUUCAUUCAUGUGAUAUGGCUGGCCAGGCAGGGUUCCCCUUCCUCCCUCACUACUCCAUGUGCAUCCUUCCAGAAGGUGCACACUUGUUCAAAGAGGAUGACCUUCCCUGAAAAGUGGAUGACCCCUCAUGGGUCACAGCUAUACAAGUAGCUGCACUCCCCUGAUAAAACCUGCAAAUAGGCUCUUAAGGAUAUUUUAUAGUGUGCCUUCACAAAACCCUCACUCUCAAGGCAUUCCUCUUCAGUUUCCCAUGUAUUUACUU